rnacentral:rRNA from 1 species
GACGAACGCUGGCGGCGUGCUUAACACAUGCAAGUCGAACGGAAAGGCCCUGCUUUUGUGGGGUGCUCGAGUGGCGAACGGGUGAGUAACACGUGAGUAACCUGCCCUUGACUUUGGGAUAACUUCAGGAAACUGGGGCUAAUACCGGAUAGGAGCUCCUGCUGCAUGGUGGGGGUUGGAAAGUUUCGGCGGUUGGGGAUGGACUCGCGGCUUAUCAGCUUGUUGGUGGGGUAGUGGCUUACCAAGGCUUUGACGGGUAGCCGGCCUGAGAGGGUGACCGGCCACAUUGGGACUAAGAUACGGACCAGACUCCUACGGGAGGCAGCAGGGGGGAAUAUUGCACAAUGGGCGGAAGCCUGAGACAGCAACGCCGCGUGCGGGAUGACGGCCUUCGGGUUGUAAACCGCUUUCGCCUGUGACGAAGCGUGAGUGACGGUAAUGGGUAAAGAAGCACCGGCUAACUACGUG